GGGAGCCAAACGUGUCUUGCGUGCUCUACGGCGCUUUCGGCGUCGCACAGCGCACCCGCCCGGCCUGGAGGUCCGCCGCGGAGAAGUCUCACUCUGUCACCCAGGCUGGAGUGCAGUGCCACGAUCUCAGCUCACUGCAACCUCCGCCUCCGGGGUUCAAGCAAUUCGUCUGCCUCAGCCUCCCGAGUAGCUGGGAUUGCAGGCACCUGCCACCAUUCCCAGCUAACACUUUGUAUUUUUAGUAGAGACAGGAUUUCACCAUAUUAGCCAGGCUGGUCUCAAAACCUGACCUCAAGUGAUCCACCGGCCUUGGCCUCCCAAAGUGCUGAGAUGAUAGGUGUGAGCCACCUGCUUUUAACUUGUUCAGCUACAAAGGCAUGUCUGUGAAUGCACAACCAUAAUGGCUCAUCAUGGGCCCAGAGCUAUGACCAUGGUAAGGUACCAAGCAUCCUACACCAUGUGCGUGUUGAUAAGAAUCAACAUCUUUGCCUAUUCUUGUGAUUUUCUGGCUGAGUAUAGCUUCUUGGGGGCAAGUGUGUGUUCUACACCACCAGGAGCAAGCUUCUCUAUUGAUAGACUUCUGGGCUUCUCUGGAGAAACCAAACGCUAAAGGCCUUUCUGAGGAGAGUCAGAAAUGCUGCCUGCAGUAUGAGGCACAUUGCCAAUUGUUGACUGUGUUAACGGAGGUUCCAGCUACCAGGAUGCCUCCAAGUGUGUGUACCUUGUGACAGAGAAAGGUACUUCUCAGCCGUAGUAAAGGAUGCUCUCAAGGGUACUCUGCAAAGCUUCUGACUGCCAGGCACUUCUCAGUGAAAAGCUUUGUUUUUCAAAUCUCUUUGUUUUGUGGACUUGGUAUUUUCUGUUUUACCUUCUUGUUGCUGUAAUUCUGAUGAAUGAAAGGUACAUUUUGCAGAAUUGAACUUCCUGCCUGAAAGGAGCCUUUGCAUGGGGAUUAGCCAUCAGUAGCCAUCCGGUCUUAGAGGGUCCUAAGAGUGCUCCAUCAGGCCCGUCAGCCACUUCCCUGGAUCCCCACAGGAACUCAUUCAGAACGAGUCACAUGCUGCUUUGUACCUGGAUGCUUCCUCGUGUACAUCUUGUUUGCAAAGGAAGUAGCCAGCUCUUCGUGGACAGGAACUGUGUCUUACUCUUCUGCCAUCCCUCCCCUCAGGCAGCACUGCCAAGAGCAUUCGCAGUGGCCAUGGAACUCUGUUGAUUGAAUGUUGGCUUGAGGAAGUUCCUGAUGUAGUUGGGCCUGUAGCAGUUGGGAUCUCGCUUCUGCGAUACUCAAGUAGUCCUACUGAAUUACAGUACCGUCAGAACCCUGUGCACAACCCUGAAAUGGGUCAGAACUCCACACUGUGCCAUAAAGAGGAAAAUUGUCAACAGGGAAGUCUAAGGAAACACCCUCCUUUGUGGAAGGCAGCAGUGGCAUGAGAGCCACCCUCUGGGCCAAAGGUGCAGCCUGACAUUCUCUGCAGAAUUACACCAUGAGUUAAGAGCGUGAGCUUCGUUUCUGAGAUACAGCUCCACCCCCUCUGAUCCUGGGAAAACUUAUCAGCUUCACCAAGCCUCUGUUUCUUCACUCUUUGCUCAGUUACUAUCUACCAGGCAUGUUAAAAAUACUUUAUGUGAAUUAUUUUUGCUUUUCACUAACCCUAUUCUACAGGCAUUAAUAAGUGAGCAAAGAGAUUCUCUAUUAUUUGUUACGCAUUAUUAUGUAUUAUCUAUGUUCUUAUUAACUACUUGGUUACAAUAACGUUUGCUAAACUUUUGUUCUGUUCAUUAAAUUCUCGUUGAACCUUAACAACUGCAAAGCAGGGAGCCUCCAC
ensembl:lncRNA